GCGAAAAAACUGUUUUUUAUCUCAUUUUUUUGCAACUAAUCUGCAAAUUGCUUUCCUCCAUAACCAAGAUAAAGACCUCACUAUGUAUGAAACCGAAAACUUCACACAAUAGACUUUCAUAGCAUGUUUAUAUACUCUCAGUGUAACUGGGCUAAAAUUUUGGGAAUUAAAAAAUAUUUAUGUGAUCGGGAAUAUUUAAAUGUUCACUCCUUCGGAUCUUGUAAGAGGGCAAAUCCAAUUUUCACCCCAUAGUUGUGCAACUGGAUUAUUUAGUAUUUUGUUUUUUUUUUUUUAGAUUCUGAGUGGUGCAAGGAAUCGAGGAGUGUAUUAAUUUUACAAUUUUCAUUUUUUUCAGGGAACAACUUUACUAUUAAAUAUUUUGC